AGAAUUCUAAGAUCAAAGAAAGAAUACUAAAAUCAAGGUCAGAAUGUUUAGAUUAGAGCCAGAAUUCUAAGAUCAAAGAAAGAAUACUAAAAUCAAGGUCAGAAUGUUUAGAUUAGAGCCAGAAUUCUAAGAUCAGGAAAGAAUUCUAAGAUCAAGGUCGGAGUGUUAAAAUUAAAACCAGAAUUCUACGAUCAGAGAAAGAAUUCUAAAAUCAAAUUCAGAAUCCUGAGAUCAGAGUCAGAAUUUUGGGAUCAAAGCUUUUGUGUAGC